UGAUGACCGUCCUCCGCUGCUGGAGUGGAGCAUUUCUCUAAAUCUGGGAAUUAAUUUUGAUGUAUAAUCAUACCUGGUGAGGAGGAAGGAGACGGGGGACGCCAGAAAUCACAGUCGGAUGAUCGGUGACACACGCUGCCUUCACAGCUCAGCGGGGAGCCAGAGGACAGCGACCUCGGGGACACUAGCCGGGACCCGUGGGCCAAUCUGUCAAUGUCGGCACACACAUUCACCUGCGGCUCCAAGUUCUCCGCCUGGGAUUUGGUCUCUACAGUCAGUCUCAGCUCCUCAACUCUGAAAUCUUCUACCUCACUUCACCUCCUCUGCGCGCAG